UACAGAGGGUGCGAGCGUUGUUCGGAAUUAUUGGGCGUAAAGCGCUUGUAGGCGGCACGUCAAGUCGCGUGUGAAAUCCCCAGGCUUAACCUGGGAAGUGCGCGCGAAACUGACGAGCUUGAGUGCCGGAGAGGGUCGCGGAAUUCCAGGUGUAGCGGUGAAAUGCGUAGAUAUCUGGAGGAACACCGGUGGCGAAGGCGGCGUCCUGGACCAACACUGACACUGAUGAGCGAAAGCCAGGGGAGCAAACGGGG
rnacentral:rRNA from 1 species